CCGGCGUUCUCUAUGGGGGGAGACUCUGUACGGAGGUGUGGAUGAUGUCCUGGGCUCACCCUUCGCAGCAUCACAACUGUACCUGUAUCAGCUUGCUGGCAUCCUGACUGCCUCAGAGAGGCACCUUCAUCACCUCUGAGAUGGCAUCUGACAUUUCCUCCAGCCAGUUACAUGCAGGUGCCCUGUGCAUCAAGAAAGAUUGAAGGAGCACCUGGGUGGCUCAGUCAGUUAAACAUCUGCCUUUGGCUCUGGUCAUGAUCCCAGGUCCUGGAAUGGAGCCCUGCUUUGGGCUCCCUGCUCAGCAAGGAGCCUACAUCUCCC
rnacentral:lncRNA from 1 species